rnacentral:rRNA from 1 species
GUGUCAGCAGCCGCGGUAAUACGAGGGGGGCAAAUGUUGUUCGGAAUCACUGGGCGUAAAGGGAGCGUAGGCGGGCUUUUAAGUUAGGUGUUUAAUUCCGGGGCCCAACCCCGGGCGUGCACUUAAAACUGGAAGUCUUGAAUAGUGGAGAGGUCAGUGGAAUUGGGGGUGUAGCGGUGGAAUGCGUAGAGAUCCCCAAGAACACCAGUUGCGAAGGCGGCUGACUGGACACAUAUUGACGCUGAGGCUCGAAAGCAUGGGGAGCAAACAGGAUUAGAAACCCCGGUAGUCC